rnacentral:rRNA from 1 species
CGCUGUAAACGAUGUCGAUUUGGAGUUUGUUGCCUAGAGUGAUGGGCUCCGAAGCUAACGCGAUAAAUCGACCGCCUGGGGAGUACGGCCGCAAGGUUAAAACUCAAAUGAAUUGACGGGGGCCCGCACAAGCGGUGGAGCAUGUGGUUUAAUUCGAUGCAACGCGAAGAACCUUACCUGGUCUUGACAUCCAUAGAAUCUUGCAGAGAUGCGAGAGUGCCUUCGGGAGCUAUGAGACAGGUGCUGCAUGGCUGUCGUCAGCUCGUGUUGUGAAAUGUUGGGUUAAGUCCCGCAACGAGCGCAACCCUUAUCCUUUGUUGCCAUCGAUUCGGUCGGGAACUCAAAGGAGACUGCCGUUGAUAAAGCGGAGGAAGGUGGGGACGACGUCAAGUCAUCAUGGCCCUUACGACCAGGGCUACACACGUGCUACAAUGGCGUAUACAAAGGGAGGCGACCUCGCGAGAGCAAGCGGACCUCAUAAAGUACGUCUAAGUCCGGAUUGGAGUCUGCAACUCGACUCCAUGAAGUCGGAAUCGCUAGUAAUCGUGAAUCAGAAUGUCACGGUGAAUACGUUCCCGGGCCUUGUACACACCGCCCGUCACACCAUGGGAGUGGGUUGCACCAGAAGUAGAUAGCUUAACCUUCGGGAGGGCGUUUACCACGGUGUGAUUCAUGACUGGGGUGAAGUCGUAACAAGGUAACCGUAGGGGAACCUGCGGUUGGAUCACCUCCUUAC